GUGAGGAAUAUUGGACAAUGGGCGCAAGCCUGAUCCAGCCAUGCCGCGUGCAGGAAGACGCAUCUAUGGUGUGUAAACUGCUUUUGUACGGGAAGAAACACUCCCUCGUGAGGGAGCUUGACGGUACCGUAAGAAUAAGGAUCGGCUAACUCCGUGCCAGCAGCCGCGGUAAUACGGAGGAUCCAAGCGUUAUCCGGAAUCAUUGGGUUUAAAGGGUCCGUAGGCGGUUUAAUAAGUCAGUGGUGAAAGCCCAUCGCUCAACGAUGGAACGGCCAUUGGUACUGUUAGACUUGAAUUACAAGGAAGUAACUAGAAUAUGUAGUGUAGCGGUGAAAUGCUUAGAUAUUACAUGGAAUACCAAUUGCGAAGGCAGGUUACUACUUGUGGAUUGACGCUGAUGGACGAAAGCGUGGGGAGCGAACAGGAUUAGAAACCCCUGUAGUCC
rnacentral:rRNA from 1 species